GAUGAAGAACGCAGCGAAAUGCGAUAAGUAAUGUGAAUUGCAGAAUUCAGUGAAUCAUCGAAUCUUUGAACGCACCUUGCGCUCCCUGGUAUUCCGGGGAGCACGCCUGUUCGAGUGUCGCGAAAUUCUUCAAGCCUUGGAUGGAUUUUUUUUUGUCUGUCCUUGGGCUUGGUUGUUGGGCUCUGCCGUGUCCUUCAUUGGGACGGCUGGCCUUAAAAGCAUUAGCCGAUCCUCGCGUGGUACUGGUUCUACUCAGCGUGAUAACAAUCUGAUCGUUGAGGACAUCUUCUGGAUGGCCAGUCAUCAUUUGGGUUGCUUCUAAACCGGUUUCGCAGAUUGCUCAAUCUGUGUGCCACUUUUCAGCUUUGACCUCGAAUCAGGUGGGACUACCCGCUGAACUUAAGCAUAUCAAUAAGCGGAGGA
rnacentral:misc_RNA from 1 species